rnacentral:misc_RNA from 1 species
GAUGAAGAACGCAGCGAAAUGCGAUAAGUAAUGUGAAUUACAGAAUUCAGUGAAUCAUCGAAUCUUUGAACGCACCUUGCACCCUUUGGCAUUCCGAAGGGUAUGCUCGUUUGAGUGUCAUUGUACUCUCACACUCUCCGAUCCUAUGGAUUCGGGGAGCGGUGGACUUGGGUGUUGCUGCCUUUCCUUGUGGCUCACCUCAAAUGUGUCAGUGCACCUCUUGGUUGGACAUAGUACGGCGUGAUAAGUGUCUUCGCCGGCACCUCGCAAGAGGGUGGCCGAUCGGGAGCUCUGUGCUUUCAAACCGUCUUCGGACAAUUUCUGACAACUUGACCUCAAAUCGAGUAGGACUACCCGCUGAACUUAAGCAUAUCAAUAAGCGGAGGA